CAGUCUAGUGCUGGCAAAUUAAAAAGCUGCUCCUUUGCUGUCCUCAAUUCAUUGCCUGAGGGUCAGCUUCACAACAGCAAAGAUGGCAUUUGCGCUUCACUUGUUACUGUUGUGUGGACUGUUCACUGGAACUUGGGCUUUUGUCUUCAACAGAGACAACUAUUGCCCUCCAGGCUGGACUCAGUUGGACAACCGCUGUUUAAUCUUUCAAAAUGAAGAGUUAAAUUUUGCUCUUGCCGAGACUGUAUGCAACAUGCUUGGUGGAAACCUGGUUUCCAUCCACAAUAAUCUGGAAAAUCAAGUCGUCCGACAACUGAUUCUCGCAGGGGCUGGAUCUUUUCAGCUUUCUUGGAUUGGACUAUAUGACCGAGUCGAGGUACAAUCCAUGAUUUUUCAUAUAUUUA